rnacentral:rRNA from 1 species
UACGGAGGGUGCAAGCGUUAAUCGGAAUUACUGGGCGUAAAGCGCACGCAGGCGGUCUGCCAAGUCGGAUGUGAAAUCCCCGGGCUUAACCUGGGAACUGCAUCCGAAACUGGCAGGCUAGAGUCUUGUAGAGGGGGGGUAGAAUUCCAUGUGUAGCGGUGAAAUGCGUAGAGAUGUGGAGGAAUACCGGUGGCGAAGGCGGCCCCCUGGACCUGUACUGACGCUCAUGCACGAAAGCGUGGGGAGCAAACAGG